CCCAAAAUUUUUAUAUUUUUAGUUAUACCCAGUUUUUAUUACAGAUGCCAUCCACACUUCCAAACAUUUAAAACUUUAUUUUCUUCUUCACCCCACCUCAUGUUCUUCCCCAAGUAUUUAGCUCUUAAAGUUUUCCACAAAACCUUUCUUGCAAAACCCAUUGAUAAUAGUAUUACAAGUAACCAAAUUCCUUUCCAGAGGCAUUUCAUCAAACAGUUUCCAGGCAUCAUCGAGCCUGCCCACUUCACACAACCCUUUGAUCAUUAUUGUGUAAGUAGAAACAUUAGUUUCAGAAGACCCUCUUUAAAAAUCUGUCCAAAAUACCCCCAAGCUAAAUCAACCCUAUUGGCCUUAACAAGAGCAACCAAAAGGGUAUUAUAGGAAAAUAAACAAUAACCAGAUUCCCUUUCCUUCAUUUGAUGUAAAAGCUUAACAGCCCACUUCAAAUGGCCUAAAUCACUAGGAGCUUAGAUAAACUUUCCCACCAUAAAAUCUGUCAUGGGAUUUCCAUGAAUCCGCUGCUAAGGAAAAUAAUUUGUGUAAAAUGAGUUUAUCAGUUAUGGCAAUGUAGGAAAAAUGAUUUUGGGUGUAGUUGUUUGGGUUCGACUCAGGCAAGAGGCCAAGUUGAAGAAGAAAAGGCAAUGGUAAGGGCUUGUUCGGCUUUUGAUGGUUUGAAUGGCUAACAUUGGGUUAAGUAUGGGGAGAAGUGGUAGAGAAAUGAAGGGUCUGGGUUUUGCCGGGUGUUGGGGCGUUGGGGGUUCAAGAACUGGAGGAGAGAGGUUAUGGAAAAAGAUGGAGUUACAGGCCAGGCCCAUGCCAGAUGAGAGAGGAGGUGGCGGCGGGCUUCACCUUCUUUUUAUAAUUUCUGUGGGACUGACCCUCUAGAGUGAGGGGACCUAUACAGCCCUUGUGAACCGAGUUCCUGUACAUGGAGUUCGGUCCGAGAGGUUAUACAAGCGAUGAGUGAGAGAGGCUAUGUGAGAGUGUCGAUGCGACGGUGAUGGUGUGUGGAUUAUUGUUCAAAAAUCAAUAAUAUGCACGUGGAAUAAGAAAUGGAGGCCCAAAUGUUAUAAGACCGCAUAGGCCAAAAUGGAUUACGGUCGCAUGACAAAGGCCAUGCCGAUAGUUGAUCUAUGGGGUCACAUAGGUUUGUUUUAUGCGAUCGCAUAGAACAUUCUACAGUCAUUAAUGACCUUUUUGUUUUAAUUUUAGGUGGCCUUUCAUAUAUUUUGGUAUCACUUCGUAUAACGUCGGUUGAUAUCUAUAAAUAUGAGAUAGAUGAUCAAUGUAAACACAUCAAAAACAAAUGUGAUCA
rnacentral:lncRNA from 1 species